UGCAGUCGGCCUUUUAAUGACGCCUAGAAAAAGCUAUUGGCCUUGAUAAUCGUGCCGACUUAUGAUAUUUUGACAGAGGGAAGGCGUAGUAACGUAUUAAUUUUGGAGUACGGCAGAUGGGCGUAAUAAUAAUAUUUAGCUGUUACGAAGAUGCUCAUUGCAGGGUUAAGGUCGAUCCUAGUGAUUCAGCUCGCACAGCAUCACGUUUAAUGUGUGUGCUUAUUUAGCGGCCAUCUACAAUUUCAUGCCGAAUGUGCCGGCUCUUGGCAGACCAUCAUUGUUCUCGGUAAGUCGUCGGGUGGGGUACCAACCAUUUCUGUGAAAACAUAGACUCUGGAUGGCUUCCCUAGUGCCGCAAAAUAGUUCGUCUCCUAAAUGAGACUGCAA